rnacentral:rRNA from 1 species
GUCGAACGGACAGGUAAUGAAACCUAGUGAUUUAUCUGUUAGUGGCGGACGGGUGAGUAACGCGUGGGUAACCUGCCGUAUACAGGGGGAUAACACUUAGAAAUAGGUGCUAAAACCGCGUAAGCGCACAGGAUCGCAUGGUCUGGUGUGAAAAACUCCGGUGGUAUACGAUGGACCCGCGUCUGAUUAGCUUGUUGGUGGGGUAGAGGCCCACCAAGGCGACGAUCAGUAGCCGGCCUGAGAGGGUGAACGGCCACAUUGGGACUGAGACACGGCCCAAACUCCUACGGGAGGCAGCAGUGGGGAAUAUUGCACAAUGGGGGAAACCCUGAUGCAGCGACGCCGCGUGAGUGAAGAAGUAUUUCGGUAUGUAAAGCUCUAUCAGCAGGAAAGAAAAUGACGGUACCUGACUAAGAAGCCCCGGCUAACUACGUGCCAGCAGCCGCGGUAAUACGUAGGGGGCAAGCGUUAUCCGGAUUUACUGGGUGUAAAGGGAGCGUAGACGGUGAAGCAAGUCUGAAGUGAAAGGCGGGGGCUCAACCCCCGGACUGCUUUGGAAACUGUUUGACUGGAGUGCAGGAGAGGUAAGUGGAAUUCCUAGUGUAGCGGUGAAAUGCGUAGAUAUUAGGAGGAACACCAGUGGCGAAGGCGGCUUACUGGACUGUAACUGACGUUGAGGCUCGAAAGCGUGGGGAGCAAACAGGAUUAGAUACCCUGGUAGUCCACGCGGUAAACGAUGAUCACUAGGUGUCGGUGAGUAUAGACUCAUCGGUGCCGUCGCAAACGCAGUAAGUGAUCCACCUGGGGAGUACGUUCGCAAGAAU